rnacentral:lncRNA from 1 species
UUUCUCGCCCCAGGACCUCCGUUUCCCCCCUCGCCACAGCUACCCUCCCCCCACUCCCAACGCUGCAGCUUCCAAAACCCGGAGACACGGAUUCCUGCGCACGCCCGGAAGCGCCCAGCGAGCCAGAGUAAGAGGGGAGGGGAACUAGAGGGAGAACCCCACGGAGCCGGCAGCACGGCGCAUGCGCCGAAGCUGGCCGGGGCUUUCGUCGCAACUAGGAAGCCGGAGCCCGGGAGCAGGAGCCCGGGAGCCGGAGCCGGGAGUCGGAGCCCGAGCCCGACCCGAGCAGCAGCGGAAGCGGCGCGUGCUGCGCCGCGGGAUGGGGAGCCUGUUGAGAGAGCUGGGGCGGUGGGGGGGAGGGGGGAGAGUCUGAGGCGGCCGCCCCUGGCGGCGGGUUUGUUUAUCCCGGGGAAGAAGUUUGGAAAGCCGGAGAGAGGGGACGAGGGAACGGGUGGGGAGGGAAGGAGGGAUGCAGUACGGCGGAGGCGGCCGCCGCCGGGACUCGCCGCCGUCACCUCCGCCGCCGCCUCCGCCUCCUCCCGCUCCUCAGGCCAUCUUCGCCGCCGCCGCCUCUUUCUCCUCUGCCGCCACCACCGCCGCCUCAGCAUGAGAGGAGCCGCCGCCGGGACGCCCUGCCACCCCCCGCUGCCAAGCCCGAAUCAUUACUGUAUUGCUUCUAAGGCAGAAGAGAGAGAUAAUGAACAUCUAGAAAGAGAAAUUGAUUCCAGAGAAGUAAUCUUGAUGGUUUCAGCAAGAACAGGAAAAGUACUGAAGUGCGGAUUACUGAGCUGA